rnacentral:lncRNA from 1 species
GUCCACAUGAUCACACCAGAAAUGAGAUCACCAUCCGGAACAAUAUCCACUGUGUGACAUCACUAGGAAGGAAAGGUGGGUCCCAGGGGGAUUUCACAGACUCCAGUCUUCAAAGUCCUCAUGAAGUGGGAAGGGACCUUGCACAGAUGGAAAGGAGCUUCCAGAGUCUCUUCAGAUCAAAAGGUCCCUGCUACCCUGAUGACUGUGUCGUCACGCCCAACUGAACUACCGCUGCCUAACUUGGAAUUUGUUCCACAUAACAGCCAUGUUUCUGGGAAGCAGAGUUUGAGACAAGCAACGGCAUGAACUCAGAUGCAGUUCCAGGGAGAACAACAUCAACUCAAGCUGUCAUGGAAAGUCAGUACAGGGCACCCCUGGGCACAGAAGUCCUUGGCACUGCCUGAUCACUAUCUUUGAUAGGCAGGUCAGCUCCCGGGUCCCCAGAGCAGUCCUGCAAUAAAGUAGCAGGUGUGAACCUUGGGAA